rnacentral:rRNA from 1 species
ACGGGAGGCAGCAGUGGGGAAUAUUGCGCAAUGGGGGGAACCCUGACGCAGCAACGCCGCGUGAGUGAGGAAGUAUUUCGGUAUGUAAAGCUCUAUCAACGGGGACGAUAAUGACGGUACCCGAGUAAGAAGUCCCGGCUAACUACGUGCCAGCAGCCGCGGUAAUACGUAGGGGACAAGCGUUAUCCGGAUUUACUGGGUGUAAAGGGUGCGUAGGCGGCAAAGCAAGUCAGAAGUGAAAGCCCGCGGCUCAACUGCGGGACUGCUUUUGAAACUGUUUAGCUAGAGUACUGGAGGGGCAAGCGGAAUUCCUGGUGUAGCGGUGGAAUGCGUAGAUAUCAGGAGGAACACCGGUGGCGAAGGCGGCCUGCUGGACAGUAACUGACGUUGAGGCUCGAAAGCGUGGGGAGCAAACAGGAUUAGAUACCCUGGUA